AGCAACUCCUUAGUGGAUUGGGCUGAAAGAAAAUCAAACCCGUGAAAGCCCUCAAUUGAUGUGGUUAUGAAAGCGCAUUGGCCAAGCUGGCUUUCCUUCCUCUGACCCCCAUCUAACUAUGGUGAACGCCCUCGUGUGCAGAAGAGGAGAGAGAAAAGAUGUUGAGAAUCACUGUGACGACAGGAUAGAGUUCAAGAUGGGGGCCCCUGUUAUUGCAUCCUCACACAUGAUGUCCAAAGCAGGAAGACAGGAAGAGAAGCAAAAAGGGAUUUCUUCUUUGGCUACUAUCUCUUUUAUUGAGCAGGAUAAACCUGCCUCCAGCAGCAGACUGCUCCUAUGUUUCACUGACUCUGGACCCAGAACCACCUGAUAAAACUCAGGAUUUAACAAACUAAGAAUGAUGCCAGCUCCAGGAAUGGGCUUAAGGAGACCUAUCUAUUUGCUUAAGGAUUGAGCUUGCUGUCCUGAUCCAGCCAACUCACCAGCUGUGCUCCUUCCAUUCCAGUAUUCUCUCCCAGGAAAAAAUUUUUCUUCUACUAUGGUUCUGGCUUUGUGAUCUGUGUACAUUUAAUCAUUUGAGCAGAGCUUUAAAAUUUAUAGCGUG
rnacentral:lncRNA from 1 species